AACGCACAUUGCGCCCCUUGGUAUUCCGGGGGGCAUGCCUGUCCGAGCGUCAUUGCUGCCCUCAAGCACGGCUUGUGUGUUGGGCCCUCGUCCCCUCCCCGGGGGACGGGCCCGAAAGGCAGCGGCGGCACCGAGUCCGGUCCUCGAGCGUAUGGGAUAACACCCGCUUUCGUAGGCCCGGCCGGCGCUUGCCGACCCCAACCUAUUUUUUAACCAGGUUGACCUCGGAUCAGGUAGGGAUACCCGCUGAACUUAA
rnacentral:misc_RNA from 1 species